AGCCCCUGGCCACCUCACUUCUCAUGGUUCAGUCUACCAUGCUCCUGUCUGUCACUAUGCCUGUCCCUAGACCAUGAGGACCCUUGUAUGUACACAUAGACAGGCAGACCCGUGUGCCAGCUCCAUCCACACGAGUGGACCCCUCUUGGCUUCCCCUUGUGUCCGGAGUGUCCCUGGAAACAGUCUGCAGGCUACUGGGGCCCCGGGCAAUUCCAGGUCCUAGAUACUAGGGAUCACUGCAAAAUUCUCCGAACCCACGAACCAUCUUGCUUUCUGUCUGGCGCUUUGGUUCCUCCUUCCUCCGCCUGCUCAGUGAAAGCCAUCCCGGAGUCAUGUGAAACACUGAAGACAGGGGAAAUGAUAGGGAAUUAAUGGGGGUGACCGAUUGACUCCCAUUGCUGGUGAACAUCUGCCACUCUGCCCUAGAGCUCCGAGACACAGGGGUCCCAGAGUGCAGCCAGGGGAGUGUCUGCUUGUGCGGCUGCAGAGGAGACAAGCGGAAGUCCUGGCCAGCAAGGAUGCACCAUCUAACCCCACAGCGGAAGCACAGCCCGCUCGUUUCCUGACCCUUAGCCAUCUUAGGGCUUCCUAUAGAAUGAUUCAACCUUUCUCCCUCCGGAAAAUAUAGUGUGCCUUGUGA